rnacentral:rRNA from 1 species
CGUGGAGUGAUUUGUCUGGUUUAUUCCGAUAACGAGCGAGACUCUAACCUACUAAAUAGUUGAUAUUUUUUAUAAGAGUAUACAACUUCUUAGAGGGAUUUGCGGUGUUUAGCCGAAGGAAAUUGAGCAAUAGCAGGUCUGUGAUGCCCUUAGAUGUCCGGGGCUGCACGCGUGCUACACUGGAAGAAUCAGCGUGUUUUUCCAUUGCCGAAAGGUAUUGGUAAACCGUUGAAACUCUUUCGUGUCCGGGAUAGGGAACUGAAAUUAUUUCCCUUAAACGAGGAAUUCCUAGUAAGUGUGAGUCAUUAGCUCACGUUGAAUACGUCCCUGCCCUUUGUAC